rnacentral:rRNA from 1 species
UAGCCAUGCAUGUCUCAGUAUAAGUCAUAUCAUGUCGAAACUGCGAAUGGCUCAUUAAAACAGUUUUAGUUUAUUUCGUUGUCGAUAGUUAUACGGAUAACUGUGGUAAUUCUAGAGCUAAUACGUGCUCAAAGACUCGACUUCUCGGAAGAGUCGUAUUUAUUAGCCCCAGAACCAUUUCCCUAUCGGGAUAUUGGAUGAUUCAUGAUAAACGUACGAAGCGUAUGGCUUGAGCCGACGCUGUGCGAUUCAAGAUUCUGACCUAUCAGCUUUCGACGGUAGGGUAUUGGCCUACCGUGGCAUUGACGGGUAACGGAGAAUUAGGGUUCGAUUCCGGAGAGGGAGCCCGAGAAACGGCUACCACAUCUAAGGAAGGCAGCAGGCGCGCAAAUUACCCAAUCCUGACAAAGGGAGGUAGUGACAAGAAAUAACAAAGCAGGCCUCUAUGAGGUUUUGCUAUUGGAAUGAGUAGAAUUUAAAUCUCUUUACGACUAUCAAUUGGAGGGCAAGUCUGGUGCCAGCAGCCGCGGUAAUUCCAGCUCCAAUAGCGUAUAUUAAAGUUGUUGCGGUUAAAAAGCUCGUAGUUGGAUUUCUGUCGAGGACGGGCGGUCCGUACUAUGUACGUGUAUCUGUUACGGCCUUGGCAUCCUCUUGGGGAACGUGUCUGUGCUUGAUUGCAUGGCGCGGUAUUCAAGACUUUUACUUUGAGGAAAUUAGAGUGUUCACGGCAAGCAUAAGCUUUGAAUACAUUAGCAUGGAAUAAUAAUAUAGGACCUGUUUUCUAUUUUGUUGGUUUCUAGAGAAUAGGUAAUGGUUAAUAGGGAUAAUUGGGGGCAUUCGUAUUAAGGCGUCAGAGGUGGAAUUCUUGGAUUGCCUUACGACGAACUACUGCGAAAGCAUUUGCCAAGGAUGUUUUCAUUGAUCAAGAACGAAAGUAUGGGGAUCGAAGACGAUUAGAUACCGUCGUAGUCUAUACCAUAAAC